UACGGGGGGAGCAAGCGUUGUUCGGAUUUACUGGGCGUAAAGGGCGCGUAGGCGGCCACCGCAAGUCGAUUGUGAAAUCUCCGGGCUUAACCCGGAAAGGUCAACCGAUACUGCGGGGCUAGAGUGCAGAAGGGGCAACUGGAAUUCUCGGUGUAGCGGUGAAAUGCGUAGAUAUCCAUAGGAACUCCGGUGGCGAAGGCGGCACGCUGGACCCCUUCUGACGCUGAGGCGCGAAAGCCAGGGGAGCAAACGGG
rnacentral:rRNA from 1 species